ACAUCGUAACUUGCUCGAAACCUUCACAAUUUUUUUACCAUAGCCUCCACAUGCGAUAAUAUGAUACCCAGACAAGUUUCGUGAUUUUCGGACUUUGUUUGAAUUUUAUAUAAUUUAAAAACACUUUUCUUACAAGUUGUUCCUCAUGUUACAGCGACAAGAUGCUCGACAUUUUAUGUGAGCUCCUAGAUAUGGCCUCAACAUACACCAAAUAUCAUGAAUAUCAUUUUUUGAAUCAAGAAUUUUCAUUAUUUCAUGCACGUUCAAAUUGAAGUUUGCAAAAAAACUAUAAAAGAAAAAAAUUUAACGAAAUAUAUAAAAAAGUCAAAAUUGUCCCAAAUUUGAAUAAAGAGUUUUAAAUAUUGUAAGAAGCCCUCACAAAAAAGGGGCAAAAAACAAAAAAAAUUCUUCCCCGCGUGCCUUCUUUCCCCAAGAGUGUCAGACAUAGCACUCGGAGAAGCCAGUCUUUUCCCUCAAAGCUAUGUUCUGGCUCUUGAGAAAGGGUCUCUUCCCCCA
rnacentral:lncRNA from 1 species